CCUACGUGUGGCAGCCGUGAGGAAUAUUGGUCAAUGGGCGGAAGCCUGAACCAGCCAAGUAGCGUGCAGGAUGACGGCCCUACGGGUUGUAAACUGCUUUUAUACGGGAAUAAAGCGCCUUACGUGUAGGGCUUUGCCUGUUCCGUAUGAAUAAGGACCGGCUAAUUCCGUGCCAGCAGCCGCGGUAAGCCGGAAGGUCCGGGCGUUAUCCGGAUUUAUUGGGUUUAAAGGGAGCGUAGGCUGUCGGAUAAGUUAGAGGUCAAAUGUCGUGGAUUAACCCCGGGCCUGCCUCUGAUACUGUUCGACUAGAGAGCGGGUGCAGCAGGCGGAAUGAGUAGUGUAGCGGUGAAAUGCUUAGAUAUUACGCAGAACACCGAUUGCGCAGGCAGCUUGCUAAUCCGAAUCUGACGCUGAUGCACGAAAGCGUGGGUAGCGAACAGGAUUAGAUACCCUAGUAGUC
rnacentral:rRNA from 1 species